GAAUUUUUCUCAAUGGGCGAAAGCCUGAAGGAGCGACGCCGCGUGGGGGAUGAAGGGUUUCGAUCCGUAAACCCCUGUCAUUCGCGAACAAGUGUUGCUAUUUAAAAGAUGGCAAUUUGAUAGUAGCGGAAGAGGAAGGGACGGCUAACUCUGUGCCAGCAGCCGCGGUAAUACAGAGGUCCCAAGCGUUGUUCGGAUUCACUGGGCGUAAAGGGUGCGUAGGUGGCAUGGUAAGUUUGAUGUGAAAGCUCAGGGCUCAACCCUGAAAUGGCAUUGAAUACUACUGUGCUUGAGGUUUGGAGGGGGGACUGGAAUUCUCGGUGUAGCAGUGAAAUGCGUAGAUAUCGAGAGGAACACCAGUGGCGAAGGCGAGUCCCUGGACAACACCUGACACUGAGGCACGAAAGCUAGGGGAGCAAACAG
rnacentral:rRNA from 1 species